rnacentral:misc_RNA from 1 species
GUCCUCUUUUCGAAACAUUCCGCAAGGCCCAAAGCCUUGCUGUCCUUAAGUCACCAAUUCACCACAUUGCAGGUCAGCAAACUCAAUUAGAAGUCCACAGAUUAGACCAAUCAAAUAGCGACUAGCUUCAAGCAUCCUAAUAAUGCACAGAUGCUUACAAAGAAAAAAAAAAUGAAAAUUGGCAUUUAUGCUUGACUAAACUAAAAACAAUGCCGACGCCAUGAAAAAAGAAGAACGUAACCAGCAAACCAUGUGCA